rfam:Pristionchus pacificus strain PS312 contig6752, whole genome shotgun sequence.
CCAACGGCCCUCUUUAGGGCCACAAUCACGUUCCAAACCAAGUUG